GACAGAGGUGCCGAGCGUUAGGCGGAAUCACUGGGCUUAAAGCGUGUGUAGGCGGACCGUUAAGUACCUUGUGAAAUCCCCCGGCUCAACCGGGGAACGGCUGGGUAUACUGGCGGUCUUGAGCCAUCCAGGGGCAGUCGGAACAGACGGUGGAGCGGUGAAAUGCGCAGAUAUCGGGAAGAACACCCGUGGCGAAGGCGGCUCUCUGGGACGGUACUGACGCUGAGACGCGAAAGCGUGGGGAGCGAACAGG
rnacentral:rRNA from 1 species